rnacentral:tRNA from 1 species
CAGUAAGUAGUUUAAUUAAAAAUUUUAAUUUUGGGGAUUAAAGAUGGGUAAUACCUUUUACUGA